GGGUGUGACAAUACCACCAGUAAUGCAUAAGAUCCCAUCAGAACUCUGUAGUUUAGCGUGCUUGCGGGAUAGUAGUACUAUGAAGGGUGACCUUCUGGGAAGUCCUCGUUUUGCAUCUU
rnacentral:rRNA from 1 species